rnacentral:rRNA from 1 species
GACGAACGCUGGCGGCGUGCUUAACACAUGCAAGUCGAACGGUGAACCUCUUCGGAGGGGAUCAGUGGCGAACGGGUGAGUAACACGUGGGCAACCUGCCCCCGGCUCUGGGAUAACUCCAAGAAAUUGGGGCUAAUACCGGAUGUUCACCGCUUCCCGCAUGGGUGGUGGUGGAAAGGGUUUCCGGCUGGGGAUGGGCCCGCUGCCUAUCAGCUUGUUGGUGGGGUAGUGGCCUACCAAGGCGACGACGGGUAGCCGGCCUGAGAGGGUGACCGGCCACACUGGGACUGAGACACGGCCCAGACUCCUACGGGAGGCAGCAGUGGGGAAUAUUGCGCAAUGGGCGGAAGCCUGACGCAGCGACGCCGCGUGGGGGAUGACGGCCUUCGGGUUGUAAACCUCUUUCAGCAGGGACGAAGCGCAAGUGACGGUACCUGCAGAAGAAGCACCGGCCAACUACGUG